rnacentral:lncRNA from 1 species
AUGCUUAAUAUUUCAGAAUAACAAUGCAAACGAAACCACUUAUGUGACAAUGAACAACACUAAGGAGUAGAAGAGUGGUAGUAGGCAAAAUUAAAUACCCUUUUGAAAUGCUUUGAAGGAAGCAAACUUUAAAACGAAUAUUAUAAAGAUGAAUGAACCUUUGACAACUGCUUAGAAGAAAUACGCUUUCAAAUUUCUCCCAUCAUCUUCAACUAUUACCCGGCCCUCCUUCAUUAUGAAAUACUAUUAAAGGUCUAAGUUAUAUCAUAAGAAGAUACUAAUUUCUGCCUUCAAGAAACUCAUCUGGGAUAGAGAUAUUCUCCAGUUUCCAAUCACAACAAGCAAUUCCAUAUCAAAAGCAACAUGGAGACAAUGUUGUCCUGCAUUCUUCAGUUCCAGAAGCCUGAGGAAGAAAGGCCCUCUGAGCUGUGAGCCCACGUUUCAGGGCUCACCAAGGCCCUCUGAGCUGUGAGCCCACGUUUCAGGGCUCACCGUGGUUAGGGAUUCCCAGAAGCAAGGGAAUAAAAUAAUUCUAGGUGCUAUGUACUAACGUUUG